CGACAACAGUCUGAAGGCUGUC
rnacentral:miRNA from 1 species